UUUUAUUCCAUCCACUGGCCACAAAGUUUAGCACCUGAUUUUUUUAUUUUUUUAUUUUUUAUUUUUUUUAAUACUGGGAACAAAGGGAUCACACUUUUACUGUCACUAGCCCUUAACAUAAAUGUGUUAACCAAUAAUGUUUAAUUUGCAAAAAACAAAAAGAAGCUAAUUUGUACAGAAGUAUAAGUUUCAGUAUUUAUUGCUUCAAUAUUGUUAAAUGCUUCUACCUUGUAACUCCUC